UUUCGGUUGGGGAUGGGCUCGCGGCCUUAUCAGUUUGUUGGUGAGGUAAUGGCUCACCAAGACGACGACGGGUAGCCGGCCUGAGAGGGCGACCGGCCACACUGGGACUGAGACACGGCCCAGACUCCUACGGGAGGCAGCAGUGGGGAAUAUUGCACAAUGGGGGAAACCCUGAUGCAGCGACGCAGCGUGCGGGAUGACGGCCUUCGGGUUGUAAACCGCUUUCAGCAGGGAAGAAGCCUUUCGGGGUGACGGUACCUGCAGAAGAAGUACCGGCUAACUACGUGCCAGCAGCCGCGGUAAUACGUAGGGUACAAGCGUUGUCCGGAAUUAUUGGGCGUAAAGAGCUCGUAGGUGGUUGGUCACGUCUGCUGUGGAAACGCAACGCUUAACGUUGCGCGUGCAGUGGGUACGGGCUGACUAGAGUGCAGUAGGGGAGUCUGGAAUUCCUGGUGUAGCGGUGAAAUGCGCAGAUAUCAGGAGGAACACCGGUGGCGAAGGCGGGACUCUGGGCUGUAACUGACACUGAGGAGCGAAAGCAUGGGGAGCGAACAGGAUUAGAUACCCUGGUAGUCCAUGCCGUAAACGUUGGGCACUAGGUGUGGGGGACAUUCCACGUUCUCCGCGCCGUAGCUAACGCAUUAAGUGCCCCGCCUGGGGAGUACGGUCGCAAGGCUAAACCUCAAAGGAAUUGACGGGGGCCCGCACAAGCGGCGGAGCAUGCGGAUUAAUUCGAUGCAACGCGAAGAACCUUACCAAGGCUUGACAUACACCAGACCGUUCUGGAAACAGUUCCUCCCCUUUGGGGUUGGUGUACAGGUGGUGCAUGGUUGUCGUCAGCUCGUGUCGUGAGAUGUUGGGUUAAGUCCCGCAACGAGCGCAACCCUCGUUCUAUGUUGCCAGCACGUAAUGGUGGGAACUCAUAGGAGACUGCCGGGGUCAAUUCGGAGGAAGGUGGGGAUGACGUCAAAUCAUCAUGCCCUUUAUGUCUUGGGCUUCACGCAUGCUACAAUGGCUGGUACAGAGAGAUGCGAGACCGCGAGGUUUUAGCGAAUCCCUUAAAGCCAGUCUCAGUUCGGAUCGUAGUCUGCAAUUCGACUACGGAAGUCGGAGUCGCUAG
rnacentral:rRNA from 1 species